rnacentral:rRNA from 1 species
CCUUUGGUACGGAAUAGCCUCUGGAAACGGAGAGUAAUACCGUAUGAGCCCUUCGGGGAAAGAUUUAUCGCCAAAGGAUUAGCCCGCGUUAGAUUAGGUAGUUGGUGGGGUAAUGGCCUACCAAGCCUACGAUCUAUAGCUGGUUUUAGAGGAUGAUCAGCAACACUGGGACUGAGACACGGCCCAGACUCCUACGGGAGGCAGCAGUGGGGAAUCUUGGACAAUGGGGGCAACCCUGAUCCAGCCAUGCCGCGUGAGUGAUGAAGGCCUUAGGGUCGUAAAGCUCUUUCGCCUGUGAAGAUAAUGACGGUAGCAGGUAAAGAAACCCCGGCUAACUCCGUGCCAGCAGCCGCGGUAAUACGGAGGGGGUUAGCGUUGUUCGGAAUUACUGGGCGUAAAGCGCACGUAGGCGGACCAGAAAGUUGGGGGUGAAAUCCCGGGGCUCAACCCCGAACUGCCUCCAAAACUAUUGGUCUAGAGUUCGAGAGAGGUGAGUGGAAUUCCGAGUGUAGAGGUGAAAUUCGUAGAUAUUCGGAGGAACACCAGUGGCGAAGGGGCUCACUGGCUCGAUACUGACGCUGAGGUGCGAAAGUGUGGGGAGCAAACAGGAUUAGAUACCCUGGUAGUCCACACCGUAAACGAUGAAUGCCAGUCGUCGGGUAGCAUGCUAUUCGGUGACACACCUAACGGAUUAAGCAUUCCGCCU